CGGCCCCUGCAGUGUUCGUGAGGAGAGCAACCUCCUGAGCCGAUAACUUAUGAACCUGGGAACUGUGCCCUGAUUGUAGAUCGUCGCCCCUUUUUUAAGGGAUUACCGGAAGCAAUUAUUCACAGAUCCACCUUGACUAAAGGGUUCAGAGAGUGAAAUCCCACGGCACAUGUGGGGGCAUU
rnacentral:other from 1 species